rnacentral:rRNA from 1 species
AGGCUGUCUCCACCCGAGACUCAGUGAAAUUGAACUCGCUGUGAAGAUGCAGUGUACCCGCGGCAAGACGGAAAGACCCCGUGAACCUUUACUAUAGCUUGACACUGAACAUUGAGCCUUGAUGUGUAGGAUAGGUGGGAGGCUUUGAAGUGUGGACGCCAGUCUGCAUGGAGCCGACCUUGAAAUACCACCCUUUAAUGUUUGAUGUUCUAACGUGGGCCCCUUACCGGGGUUGCGGACAGUGUCUGGUGGGUAGUUUGACUGGGGCGGUCUCCUCCUAAAGAGUAACGGAGGAGCACGAAGGUUGGCUAAUCCUGGUCGGACAUCAGGAGGUUAGUGCAAUGGCAUAAGCCAGCUUGACUGCGAGCGUGACGGCGCGAGCAGGUGCGAAAGCAGGUCAUAGUGAUCCGGUGGUUCUGAAUGGAAGGGCCAUCGCUCAACGGAUAAAAGGUACUCCGGGGAUAACAGGCUGAUACCGCCCAAGAGUUCAUAUCGACGGCGGUGUUUGGCACCUCGAUGUCGGCUCAUCACAUCCUGGGGCUGAAGUAGGUCCCAAGGGUAUGGCUGUUCGCCAUUUAAAGUGGUACGCGAGCUGGGUUUAGAACGUCGUGAGACAGUUCGGUCCCUAUCUGCCGUGGGCGCUGGAGAACUGAGGGGGGCUGCUCCUAGUACGAGAGGACCGGAGUGGACGCAUCACUGGUGUUCGGGUUGUCAUGCCAAUGGCACUGCCCGGUAGCUAAAUGCGGAAGAGAUAAGUGCUGAAAGCAUCUAAGCACGAAACUUGCCCCGAGAUGAGUUCUCCCUGAGACUUAGAGUCUCCUGAAGGAACGUUGAAGACGACGACGUUGAUAGGCCGGGUGUGUAAGCGCAGCGAUGCGUUGAGCUAACCGGUACUAAUGAACCGUGAGGCUUAACCUUACAACGCCGAAG